rnacentral:rRNA from 1 species
UACAGAGGUCUCAAGCGUUGUUCGGAUUCAUUGGGCGUAAAGGGUGCGUAGGUGGCGUGGUAAGUCGGGUGUGAAAUUUCGGAGCUUAACUCCGAAACUGCAUUCGAUACUGCUGUGCCUGAGGACUGGAGAGGAGACUGGAAUUUACGGUGUAGCAGUGAAAUGCGUAGAGAUCGUAAGGAAGACCAGUGGCGAAGGCGGGUCUCUGGACAGUUCCUGACACUGAGGCACGAAGGCCAGGGGAGCAAACGGG